rnacentral:miRNA from 1 species
AGGCGGGCCGGGGUUGGA